CCUACGGGAGGCAGCAGUGGGGAAUAUUGCACAAUGGGCGAAAGCCUGAUGCAGCAACGCCGCGUGAGCGAUGAAGGCCUUCGGGUCGUAAAGCUCUGUCCUCAAGGAAGAUAAUGACGGUACUUGAGGAGGAAGCCCCGGCAAACUACGUGCCAGCAGCCGGGGUAAUACGUCGGGGGCUAGCGUUAUCCGGAAUUACUGGGCGUAAGGGGUGCGUAGGUGGUUUCUUAAGUCAGAGGUGAAAGGCUACGGCUCAACCGUAGUAAGCCUUUGAAACUGGGGAACUUGAGUGCAGGAGAGGAGAGUGGAAUUCCUAGUGUAGCGGUGAAAUGCGUAGAUAUUAGGAGGAACACCAGUUGCGAAGGCGGCUCUCUGGACUGUAACUGACACUGAGGCACGAAAGCGUGGGGAGCAAACAGGAUUAGAUACCCGUGUAGUC
rnacentral:rRNA from 1 species